rnacentral:snRNA from 1 species
UCACAUUGAUAGUGGACUUAUUAAAAUUGGAGUGAUACAGAUAAGAUUAGCAUGGACCCUGUAUGUGGAGGACAUAAAAAUUCAUAAAGUGUUCCAUAUUUUG